rnacentral:rRNA from 1 species
GGGCCCGCACAAGCGGUGGAGCAUGUGGUUUAAUUUGAUGCAACGCGAAGAACCUUACCAGGGUUUGACAUGACAGGAAUUUUUCUGAGAAGAGAAAGUGCCUUUUUAGGAACCUGUGCACAGGUGGUGCAUGGCUGUCGUCAGCUCGUGUCGUGAGAUGUUGGGUUAAGUCCCGCAACGAGCGCAACCCUUGUUUUAGUUAUUUUUCUAGAAAGACUGCCGGUUAUAAGCCGGAGGAAGGCGGGGACGACGUCAAGUCAGCAUGCCCCUUACACCCUGGGCUACACACGUGCUACAUUGGAUAAGACAAUGAGUCGCGAACCUGUGAAGGUCAGCAAAUCUAUAAAGCCGGUCUCAGUUCGGAUUGGAGUCUGCAACUCGACUCCAUGAAGUUGGAGUCGCUAGUAAUCCC